ACCUGGCUGGCUCAGUCAGUAGAGCAUGUGACUCUUGAUCUCAGGGUUGUGAGUUCAAGCCCCACGUUGAGUG
rnacentral:tRNA from 1 species